UCGGUAAAGGAUGGGGAUGCGUCCGAUUAGCUUGUUGGCGGGGUAACGGCCCACCAAGGCAUCGAUCGGUAGGGGUUCUGAGAGGAAGGUCCCCCACACUGGAACUGAGACACGGUCCAGACUCCUACGGGAGGCAGCAGUGAGGAAUAUUGGUCAAUGGCCGCAAGGCUGAACCAGCCAAGUAGCGUGAGGGAAGACUGCCCUAUGGGUUGUAAACCUCUUUUAUGCGGGGAUAAAGGCGUCCACGUGUGGAUGUUUGCAGGUACCGCAUGAAUAAGGACCGGCUAAUUCCGUGCCAGCAGCCGCGGUAAUACGGAAGGUCCGGGCGUUAUCCGGAUUUAUUGGGUUUAAAGGGAGCGUAGGCCGGUCUUUAAGCGUGCCGUGAAAUUUUGUGGCUCAACCAUGAGAGUGCGGCGCGAACUGGAGACCUUGAGUGCGCGGAAGGCAGGCGGAAUUCGUGGUGUAGCGGUGAAAUGCUUAGAUAUCACGAAGAACCCCGAUUGCGAAGGCAGCCUGCCGCAGCGUUACUGACGCUGAAGCUCGAAAGCGCGGGUAUCGAACAGGAUUAGAUACCCUGGUAGUCCGCGCGGUAAACGAUGGAUGCCCGCUGUCGGCGAUAUACAGUCG
rnacentral:rRNA from 1 species